rnacentral:lncRNA from 1 species
GUCAUGGUGACUUGGACCCAUCCAACAGAGACGAAGACAACUAAAUGGAUUCAGGAUAUAUUCUAGAGAUAACGAGUCCUAACUCUUUGCCAAGGAUAUGGCAAAGACUCUGAUGGAAAAGGCAGUAAUGUGUACACAAAGGUGAACAUAAAUAAAUGUGUGUAUGAUAAACGCUGGGAAUGGACAUAGAAAAACGGGUAUGCAAUUGGACAGAGACGACGGGAGACAGAAGGAAAGAUACUUGCUCAGCUGUAUCUAAGUAAGUUCAUAGGAGUUUCAUGGUCUGAAAAAUCUGUGACAGUGGAAUUUCUACUAAGAAGCUUAAAAAAGUUUCACCUUCUCCUUGGACACUUCAGAAUAAGGCUUUCUUAGAAUAUAAUGCAUUAUAUCACAAAUAUACUUUUAUAUAAAAUAUUUGGGACCAAAACAAGAGUAAAGAACCAGGAUCCGAAAGGGUGAAUGCCUACUAAAUAUCUUUGAUUAUCUAAAGCUGUUUAAAAGCUAUUAGAUUGGCACCUGGAACCCCAAAAUAUCCACUUUUCACUGGGAAGGAGUGGCUGUGCCUCUUCAAUCAUCCCCUAAAUGCAAAGAAGUUUGACCCCCACGCAAUGGAUAAAAGUCACCCAAAAAAUGAACAAAAGAGGUGUUUGGAAAAACCAGAACACCAUUCAUCCCAGCUAACGACUUGUUCAUUAUGAGUGAUGAUGGAUAAAGACUUCUCAUGCUGAGAUGAAAUCAAGAUUUAUAUGCAUUGUUUCCUCUCCCAACUUGUGGGAAGAUCAUCAUCAUUUAAUUCUAUCUCUGCGGCCAGUGAUGGGCAUCCAGAGAGCUGGUUAUCAAACGGCGCAGUCAGCUGGCAAAAGCCGAAACGUGCAGUUGGCACAUCUGGACGGAGCCGCCACAGCCGAGGGUGAACAAUGACUCCUGGCAAGCAUCCAAAUUGCUUGCAGACGCUAGCAGGUCUCAUCUACAACCGCCCCUACCAGCAUCUCUCUCUCCCUCUCUUUUUUAUGAGAAUCAGAUUUUCAUUGCUCCAUUCAGUUGCUCUCCUCUGCCAUUUUUUACAGCUCUUAUCGUUCCCCUGGAAUAUGGCCUUGAGACAGCUCAUCCGUGUCCUUCACUGUGUUAUCUCUUCUAACUUUUAUUAAAACUUCAGCUUUCAUCUGAAGAUAGCUAAUUAAAUCUGGAACAGAUUAUAUGCCUCCCCUUAAAAAGAGCACAAAACUAUUUUCUUCAACCCCAGCAAUGCAAUGCUUUUUUUCCUUUCCAAAAGGUAAAAUCAAAGGUGUUUAAGAAGUCUCUUUAUUUACAGAGCUAAGAUAUUCAACACGUCAUAUAUGAGUUGAUUUAUAUUAAAGUUGUCUGUGAUAUGACAAAUCUUUGAGCUAUUUCUCAAGAUGAUUAUUUCUCAAUCCUGGUAUAUAUCCUUUAAAUAUCACAGCUAAUACUAUAAGCAUAUUUUCUAUAUAAAGUUGGGUAAUGAGGAGUUAAGUUAUUAGUGCACAUCAAGUGAUUUGUCUUUUUAUUCGUCUUUUUUUUUUUUUAAAAGGUUGCCCUCAUUUGAUAAGGAUGAAGAGAAAUUUUUCUUUUCUUCCCCAUACCACAAAUAUUAGUAACUAAAAGUUCUCCCAUGGGAAAUUAUGUGAAAACAUGAAAUUAAUAGCAGUGAUUCAAGUUUAGGACUGAUUCGGUUUUCAAGACAGCUUUAUAUCAACUGAUCAUCAGCACAAGUAGCUCUGUCUGAGUCUACCACAAAUUAUUAAUGAAGGAACUUCCACAAUUGAUAUGAAUACAUUCUUCUCACAUAUGCCGCUGACCCAGUCCCUUUCUGAGGCCGAGGGGCAGUGUACAAUCACCUUUUCUUGCAUAGAUCAGCUAACCAAACCUUUAGCAAUGACAUCUGAAAGAAUCUAGCCAGCCAUCACACACACACACCCCCUCUGCCCUUUUAAUAAGGGUUAAGCUUCUACUACUGUGAGAAUAUGAUUUAACUAUCCCACCUGAAACUUUCUGGGAUCCUUUUCUUCGCUUCACUGCCUUUAGUAAGAUUUCCUUCAUGGUAACCUUUGUGUUGUCCACCUGAAUAAGGGAGAAUCCAUGAGCAGCAUUUCUGUAGGAAAAGACAAAUAUUAAAUCAUCACCAACAUUCAUCCAGAGAGAUGUUACUGCAAUCUUCACUGUGUUUAAGCAAGUUUUUUUUGUUGUUGUUUGUUUUGUUUUGUUUUUGAAAUGGAGUCUCCCUCUGUCACCCAGGCUGGAGUGCAGUGGCGCAAUCUCGGCUCACUGCAAGAUCCGCCUCCUGGGUUCACACCAUUCUCCUGCCUCAGCCUCCCGAGUAGCUGGGACUACAGGCGCCCGCCACUACAUCCGGCUAAUUUUUUGUAUUUUUUUUUUUUUAGUAGAGACAGGGUUUCACCGUGUUAGCCAGGAUGGUCUCGAUCUCUUGACCUCAUGAUCUGCCCGCCUCGGCCUCCCAAAGUGCUGGGAUUACAGGCAUGAGCCACCGCGCCCGGCCGUGUUUAAGCAAGUUUUAAAAAUACAUAAAUCCAUUGUGGCACAAUGUAAUAUGUAUCACCAUGCUACACCUGCGGACGCUUCCGAGCGGCUGCCAUGUCUGUGCAGUCAGGAAUGAUAAGUGAACCACCCGUGAAUGUUAACGAUAGUGAUCAUUCUGAGACCACAAGGCAAUAGCAUAUAACAGAAGGAAAGGCUUCAAGCUAAUGACACCCUUUAAUAAAGGUCUGGUCACUUGGGGUAUACCGUGGAUUUAUCAUCAAGAAGGUAAACUAAAACUCCCCACUCUUCUGAAAAGCCCAGUAAAGAGCAUGAAUGAACUUAGGGCACGCCUCUUCAAAAAGCAGCUCAUCGUUCCCUUUCUGCAGAGCCAAGAGAAGCCAAGGUAGUCUCUGGGAGCCUGCCCAAGGCAGCCCAGCUUCUGGGCUAAGACCUUCCACUGUUACCUGACAGCUGUUACCCAAAGAGCUCUUGGUAAGAACUGUUCCUUUCCUCAUGUUCCUCUAAUAUAUCAAAUAUUUAAAGGAAAAUACAUAUAUAUAUAGGAGACAGUUUAACUGCUCUGACUUCUACCCAAAGGAGAUUCUGACCAUUUUAUUGGCCUUGACUUUUUUUUUUUUCCUUUAAUGCCCUUCUUCCCCCACUCCAGAGCAGAAUCCUGGCAUGAAACUUUAAUGUCAACACAUAUAAGGUAAUAAUACUACCACACUUGUUUUUGUCAUUGCCACUUUUGAACUCAAUUCAGUCUCACAAAUUCUGACUAAAUUAGGCCUGUGUUGGGAAUGGGAGAAGGAGACGAACAAGGCAGGUCCCUAUCCUUGAGAGGCACUUAGCCCACUCAAGAUCUCAUUCUCCCUUGUCCUACUUUGUCUAAAGGAACAGUAGGCUUUGGCUUGGUCACUGCAACACUUCUUGAGAUGCUGGGCACUACCUGAGCUCCAGCUCUUUAUCUGGUUUUGGGGGUCAGCCAAAAACCUUCCCAUUCCUCCCACUCCCUACUUCUCCUCUCUGACACUACUGAUAUCCAAACAUCUUUACUGCUAAGCUCAAAGUAGUCAGCAAGUUAGGGAUUCCCAUUUAUAGAUAUAUUUGCUCUGUCCAAAAUCAAUCAGGAACAAUGGAUAGCUUAGGAAUCCACUUGAAGAUUUGUUAAAAGAGGCAGUUUCCAUUACCAGGCUCCUAAUUUGCAAGUUGUUAGAAUAAUCCAUUCUCCUUCUCUGAACAACAACUCUGUCCAGGGGAUUCCUGGGGCCCAGGGGUUCUAGAGGGAAAGCUAGAUAGAUCUAGUCCUGAUUUAGUAAGAACAUCAGAAGACAUCCAAUUUCACGUUCCCUCCACAGAAUAAUUUUCCAAUGAGAAAUUCAUUAAUUAGUUCCCCUUUAAAAAAUGUAAGUAAUUAUAAAAUAUAAUUCACAAUCUUUGCAUGAUGGAAUGAAGACAAAUUUAAAAAUUUCUUUUAUAUGCAGAAACAGAUCUAUUUCCCAAUUUUGCUAUAAUGGACACAUAUUAAUUAUAUAAUAAAAAAUAACUCAAAGGAAGGUUAAACCCCAUUCUCACCUUAGUGUAAAUUAUUCCCACUUAGAAUCCCUGACAGAAAUAACAAUAGCAACUAUGUAACACUUCCUACAUGCCAGAGUCUCAGCUAAUAUUAAUAAUCACAGCAGCAUUUCCUGAGGUUCAAGAGCCCCCAGGAAUCAACAGAUGAAUUUACAGACUAAGUUUCAGAAUUUAAAAACCUGUUUUCUCACGGUGAUGUGAGCCUCUAGUUCCAGCUACUCAGGAGGACUGUCUGAACCCAAGAGUUCCAGUCCAGCCUGGGCAGCAUAGUGAG